UACGGGGGGGCAAGCGUUGUUCGGAAUUACUGGGCGUAAAGGCUCGUAGGCGGCCAACUAAGUCGGACGUGAAAUCCCUCGGCUCAACCGGGGAACUGCGUCCGAUACUGGAUGGCUUGAGUUCGGGAGAGGGAUGCGGAAUUCCAGGUGUAGCGGUGAAAUGCGUAGAUAUCUGGAGGAACACCGGUGGCGAAGGCGGCAUCCUGGACCGACACUGACGCUGAGGAGCGAAAGCCAGGGGAGCAAAGCGGG
rnacentral:rRNA from 1 species